AGCGAACGCUGGCGGCAGGCUUAACACAUGCAAGUCGAACGGGCAUCUUCGGAUGUCAGUGGCAGACGGGUGAGUAACACGUGGGAACGUACCCUUCGGUUCGGAAUAACUCAGGGAAACUUGAGCUAAUACCGGAUACGCCCUUUUGGGGAAAGGUUUACUGCCGAAGGAUCGGCCCGCGUCUGAUUAGCUUGUUGGUGGGGUGACGGCCUACCAAGGCGACGAUCAGUAGCUGGUCUGAGAGGAUGAUCAGCCACACUGGGACUGAGACACGGCCCAGACUCCUACGGGAGGCAGCAGUGGGGAAUAUUGGACAAUGGGCGCAAGCCUGAUCCAGCCAUGCCGCGUGAGUGAUGAAGGCCUUAGGGUUGUAAAGCUCUUUUGUCCGGGACGAUAAUGACGGUACCGGAAGAAUAAGCCCCGGCUAACUUCGUG
rnacentral:rRNA from 1 species